UUGAUUCGACCCCUCUUAUCUAUUUGAUAUGAUCCAACCUGCAUCUCAACUUAACCCGGCCAAACCCGACCAAAGGUGGGUACGAGGUGGGUAUGUGGGUAUAAAAUUUUUUAAUUAUGGGGUUGGUAAAGGUAUUGGCCAAUCUGACCCAUAUCUAAUCUAUUGCCAUCUCUAAGUCUCAUGUAUUUGAAACCUUUCAAAUUGAUUAGACCAUAAAUGAUUAAUUCACACAUGACAUAUGUGCAC
rnacentral:lncRNA from 1 species